rnacentral:rRNA from 1 species
AUUGAACGCUGGCGGCAUGCCUUACACAUGCAAGUCGAACGGCAGCACGGGAGCAAUCCUGGUGGCGAGUGGCGAACGGGUGAGUAAUGUAUCGGAACGUGCCCAGUCGUGGGGGAUAACGUAGCGAAAGCUACGCUAAUACCGCAUACGAUCUAUGGAUGAAAGCGGGGAUCGCAAGACCUCGCGCGAUUGGAGCGGCCGAUAUCAGAUUAGGUAGUUGGUGGGGUAAAGGCUCACCAAGCCGACGAUCUGUAGCUGGUCUGAGAGGACGACCAGCCACACGGGGACUGAGACACGGCCCAGACUCCUACGGGAGGCAGCAGUGGGGAAUUUUGGACAAUGGGCGCAAGCCUGAUCCAGCAAUGCCGCGUGCAGGAUGAAGGCCUUCGGGUUGUAAACUGCUUUUGUACGGAACGAAACGGCGAGCUCUAAUACAGUUUGCUAAUGACGGUACCGUAAGAAUAAGCACCGGCUAACUACGUGCCAGCAGCCGCCGUAA